GUGUCAGCAGCCGCGGUAACACGUAGGCACCAAGCGUUGUCCGGAUUUAUUGGGCGUAAAGAGCUCGUAGGCGGUUCAGUAAGUCGGGUGUGAAAACUCUGGGCUUAACCCAGAGCCGCCACCCGAUACUGCUGUGACUAGAGUCCGGUAGGGGAGUGGGGAAUUCCUAGUGUAGCGGUGAAAUGCGCAGAUAUUAGGAGGAACACCGGUGGCGAAGGCGCCACUCUGGGCCGGAACUGACGCUGAGGAGCGAAAGCGUGGGUAGCAAACAGGAUUAGAUACCCCGGUAGUCC
rnacentral:rRNA from 1 species